GUUGGUUGGUUGAUGAAAAUGGAAAUCUAUGUGAGUUUUGGGUUGAAGAGAGCUUAAGGUGUUGUGUGGGUGUUGUGGGUUUGGCUCUUUCCUUCCAUAUUUCGGUUUAGAUGUUUGAAACCAGUUUGGAACCAUAGUUUGAUGUGUUAUUGUGACUAGACAGUGUUGGAGUUGAAGGGUAAGUUAUUAUUUUCGUUUUUGCACAAGAGCUUGAAGAAAUGGAAGAUUGGGUUGAGUUGAAGUAGUAGUAGUGUGGGUUUAUUGUCUUGAAUGGAGUUGCAACUUGAAAUGGGGUCUCUUGGGUGUGUGUUUUCGGUGUGAGGAACAAGAAANAGCUAGAGGUGUGUGCUGGUUGUGGAAUUUCCAAGUGGGAGUUAGAAAGGAGGAGAGAUGGGUACUAUUAAUUUUUUACCAUUUUCGGGCAAACAAAGAAAGAUGCUCUUUGUCAUUAUAGAAAGCUUUCCACUUGUAGCUUAGCUUUUGGUUGAUUAUGUUGAGGAGGGUCUUAAGCAUUGAGGUUUUUGGAGUUUGUUUUCUUUUGGUUUAGCUUACUUGGCACGUUGGUAGGAGCACCCAUGUUUACAUUCAUUUACCCUUUGGUUUGGAAGCAAUUUUCUUUGUAGCAUGCACAUGAGCUCACGACAAUUUGCUCUUGGAAUGGGAUGUCCGAAUUUGCUGCAUGAAAGGAGUCAGGGCACGGUUUCAAAUGGGUUGCUUUAAGUAUAUUUUAAUUCCUUUGGNGAAAUGGUGCACAUGGGGACAAAAAGACAACAAAUUGGAUGGUUUCUUGAAGAGUACAAAUUGAAGUGGACUUGGUGGAGUGUGGUGCACGGCCAUGAGGUUCUUUUUGGCCAAUUAGACUUUUAAAAUUAAUUGUUAAUUGUCAUUUAGUCAAAUUAAUUGUUAGGAUUAAAUUAAGCUUGUUGGUUCCCUUGGUUUUAAAUUAAUUUAGUUAAUAGGUUGAGUUUAUGUGUUUAAUAGUGUUAGUUUAAUUAUCAUGCUAGCUUAAAUUAGUUGUUUGCAUCUGUGUCUUUAUUGAGUUGUUUAAUUUUUGUAAAACCUUUUCAAACCGUCCCUC
rnacentral:lncRNA from 1 species